rnacentral:misc_RNA from 1 species
GAUGAAGAACGUAGCGAAAUGCGAUAAGUAAUGUGAAUUGCAGAAUUCAGUGAAUCAUCGAAUCUCUGAACGCACAUUGCGCCCCUUGGUAUUCCGAGGGGCAUGCCUGUUCGAGCGUCAUUAUAACCCCUCAAGCUCAGCUUGGUGUUGGGGCCUGCUGCACUGGCAGCCCUUAAAAUCAGUGGCGGCGCCAUCUGGCUCUAAGCGUAGUAAUUCUUCUCGCUAUGGAGUCCUGGUGGAUGCUUGCCAUCAACCCCCAAUUUUUCUAUGGUUGACCUCGGAUCAGGUAGGGAUACCCGCUGAACUUAAGCAUAUCAAUAAGCGGAGGA